UGAUGAGAUUUAUCACCCAAAACCGUUUUUGUGCGGCCGACUGGAGAACGUUAUUACAGCACAAUAAAAACCCCAAGUAACGUGAUUUUUUGCACAGUGAGUGAGCUGAAAUUCAGAUUUUUUUGAAGAAAACUCCCUGUUUUCUUGAAGAAAACUCCCUGUUUUCUUUCUAUUCCUGGCACAGACCCCGAGCAGUGUCUGCUGGCCCUGACACUCAUCCUGUCUGUCACAUCCCUCUCCAGACCUGGCUCCCCAUGUCCACAGCCACAGAAACACCAUUUUCCUUUCCCUUUGCUUCACCACCUUUAUAUCCAAUAAUUUUAUGCCUUUCUCACCUUUAAUAUUUCCAUUUUUCCCCAUUAUCCAUGGUAGGGUGGAAUUGGGGCUCAAGGAGAACCUGUUGGCAGAACUGAAGGGUGAGGGAAAAAUCCAGCCACCACUUUUUAAUUUUUAAUGCAAAAAUCUGUUGGUUUGGAGGGGAAAGGCACAGGGUAAAAAGGAUCUGGAGGUGGUGAAAUGGGACUGGGAUGGUUUUGAACCACGCUGUGUUCUCUCUGUUCAAUGGCAGGGGAUCAGAGGAGGGUGACAAAAGCAAUGUGGACACUGCAGCUCCUUCCAAGGGCUCCCAACCCUCCAGGGAUGGGCUCUUCCCACACUGCAGUCAAUGAAUCUCUAAUCUCCUGGACUGAAAUGUCUGACACUUCCAGCAUCAUUUCCCUGCUGCCUCGGCUCGCAGAGCUCCACCUACAGCAGUGUCUCAGCAGUGGGCUGCUGGUGGAUCUGAGAGAAAUGUCUGGGUUUUUGGGGUGGGAGG
rnacentral:lncRNA from 1 species